UGGGGAAUCUUGGACAAUGGGGGCAACCCUGAUCCAGCCAUGCCGCGUGAGUGAUGAAGGCCUUAGGGUCGUAAAGCUCUUUCGCCUGUGAAGAUAAUGACGGUAGCAGGUAAAGAAACCCCGGCUAACUCCGUGCCAGCAGCCGCGGUAAUACGGAGGGGGUUAGCGUUGUUCGGAAUUACUGGGCGUAAAGCGCACGUAGGCGGACCAGAAAGUUGGGGGGUGAAAUCCCGGGGGCUCAACCCCGGAACUGCCUCCAAAACUAUUGGUCUAGAGUUCGAGAGAGGUGAGUGGAAUUCCAAGUGUAGAGGUGAAAUUCGUAGAUAUUUGGAGGAACACCAGUGGCGAAGGCGGCUCACUGGCUCGAUACUGACGCUGAGGUGCGAAAAGUGUGGGGAGCAAAACAGGAUUAGAUACCCCUGGUAGUCCCACACCGUAAAACGAUGAAUGCCAGUCGUCGGGGUAGCAUGCUAUUCGGUGACACACCUAACGGAUUAAGCAUUCC
rnacentral:rRNA from 1 species